GUGGGGAAUCUUAGACAAUGGGGGCAACCCUGAUCUAGCCAUGCCGCGUGAGUGAUGAAGGCCUUAGGGUCGUAAAGCUCUGUUGAAUGGGAAGAAAAAAAUGACGGUACCAUUCGAGGAAGGACCGGCUAACUUCGUGCCAGCAGCCGCGGUAAUACGAGGGGUCCUAGCGUUGUUCGGAAUCAUUGGGCGUAAAGGGUGUGUAGGUGGCCAUGUAAGUCAGGUGUGAAAGCCCCGGGCUCAACCCGGGAAGUGCACUUGAUACUGCGUGGCUUGAGUACCGAAGAGGGUAGUGGAAUUCCAGGUGUAGUGGUGAAAUACGUAGAUAUCUGGAGGAACACCGGUGGCGAAGGCGGCUACCUGGUCGAGUACUGACACUGAGACACGAAAGCAUGGGGAUCAAACAGGAUUAGAUACCCGGGUAGUCC
rnacentral:rRNA from 1 species